rnacentral:rRNA from 1 species
UACGUAGGGUGCGAGCGUUAAUCGGAAUUACUGGGCGUAAAGCGUGCGCAGGCGGUUCGUUGUGUCGGCGGGGAAAGCCCCGGGCUCAACCCGGGAAUGGCCGUUGAAACUGGCGAACUGGAGUGUGGCAGAGGGGGGUGGAAUUCCGCGUGUAGCAGUGAAAUGCGUAGAGAUGCGGAGGAACACCGAUGGCGAAGGCAGCCCCCUGGGCUGACACUGACGCUCAGGCACGAAAGCGUGGGGAGCAAACAGG